rnacentral:misc_RNA from 1 species
AAAAUGCGAUACGUGGUGUGAAUUGCAGGAUCCCGUGAACCAUCGAGUUUUUGAACGCAAGUUGCGCCCGAAGCCUUUAGGCCGAGGGCACGUCUGCCUGGGCGUCACGCACCGUUGCCCUCCAAACCUCCGCAGUCCUUUAGUGGGAUUGUUGAGAUGUGCGGGGGUCGUAAAGUGGCUUCCCGUCGGCUUUGUCCUGCGGUUGGCCUAAAAAUGUAUCCCUAGUCGCGGUGCGCGCGGCAUUCGGUGGUCAUCGAUAGAUUUCGUUACCCCGCCGUGCGCUCCCGUGUUGCCAAAAAGUGCCGGCAGUUUAAAGGAUGUCACCAGCAAACCCGAUGUCUCGCUCUGUGAAGAGCGUAGCUUACAACGCGACCCCAGGUCAGGCGGGGCUACCCGCUGA